CUAAACCAGAGCCACAAAGGGAGUGUUGUUUGCUGGUAUGCAAAUGGGUACUCUUGAGGUAAAAAAAAUUUUAAAAACUCUUUGACUGCAGCAGAGUGAGCUGCCUCCUCUCCUGGAUGGUUAAGUCAUCACCACUCAGACUGUGCUACAGAGAUUCAGCUUCACCGUGGUAAGAAAAAAAGUAUCACCACUUGCAUGACUCUCUUCAGUGGUACAUGUUGCUGUCAUUACCUGUGAGAUUAUUUUUUCAGUUUGUCUUCAAAGUGCAAUAUAUUUCUACUUAUCAAAGAAAACAGAGAAAAUGGAGCAGAUGUAGUCUCCAGUUGCUGCUAUAUGCCUUAUAACUUUGGCCUACAUCAACAGUGAACAUUCAUGUUGCCUCCCAUUUGACUUUGAUGAUAGUUACGUCGCUUAUUAUCGGGUUUACUCAUUUGGCAUUUGCAAGUCAUAAAUGGGUCAAUACUUCCCCCUUUUUACAUGUCAUCACUGUCGCCUGGGAAGUAAAUAAACUAUAAGAACUGA